CAGUCGCCGCGGGAAUACAGAGGGUGCAAGCGUUAUCCGGAAUUAUUGGGCGUAAAGGGCUCGCAGGCGGUUUCUUAAGUCUGAUGUGAAAGCCCCCGGCUCAACCGGGGAGGGUCAUUGGAAACUGGGAAACUUGAGUGCAGAAGAGGAGAGUGGAAUUCCACGUGUAGCGGUGAAAUGCGUAGAGAUGUGGAGGAACACCAGUGGCGAAGGCGACUCUCUGGUCUGUAACUGACGCUGAGGAGCGAAAGCGUGGGGAGCGAACAGGAUUAGAUACCCCCGUAGUCCCUGUCUCUUAUAA
rnacentral:rRNA from 1 species